UUCAAAAAAAAAGUUCCUCUAUACACGCAUUUAUUUGCUAGUGAAAAACUGAACUAGCACAUUUCCUUUUAUUGUGAUUUUUUUUUUUUUUUUUUUUUUUUUGUAUCGGAACUCGAACUCACGACCUCUGGCUUGCCAGGCAAGCGCUUAUGCCGCUGAGCUACAUCCCUGACCCUCUUUCUAUAUUCUAGAUGCGAGUCUUCUGUCUGAGGAGUAGCUGGCAAAACCUUUCCCCUUCAUGGGUCAUUUCCUUUGCCAUGCAGAACAACUCCACUCUUGGUGCGUGGACUGUCAAGGAAUUUGAAGCCCUGUGCUAAGCCACAACCGGCUCCUGGGUGGAAGAAUCUGUGGGUGAUUUAGGCAGAGACAACAGCGCAAGUAGAGGAGGCCAGCUCAGAGUCCCUGUGACCCGGGAAAGAAGCGAUGGAGAAGGAGCCCCUGGCCACAACCACUCCCUGGCCAGAGCUGCUCUCCACCUUUCUCUACUCUGGAAGUCGCUGCUGGCCUCGCCCAUCCGGGGUCACACGGGAAAAUGCCAGGGCCUCCGUCUACGUGGACCGGGAUGAUGUCCAGCCCUCCCCGUGCCCUGCUGGAAGGCGGCUGAAGGCCGAAGUCCUGCUGACCGCCACCUCCACACACUGUCACCAGCAGCUGUACUUUGGACCUCUCCAGUGCCUGCGCUAAGGGUGGUUUCAAAAGCCCGGCCGGAGGAGAGCCGGCGACAGGAUCUAAGGACUGGGACCUCAUCGCUCCGUCAUGGGGAGUCUGCCCAGUAGGAGCAAGGCCCUGGGUCUGAUUCCCCACCGCCACACACGCAGACACUGUUGGCGAAAGGCUGAGGAAACUUACCAAAUUCUAGAUAUUCAGAGAUCUCUU
rnacentral:lncRNA from 1 species